rnacentral:ncRNA from 2 species
UCAUUUGACGCCGUCUUCGGUGCCUCGUGAGAGGUGAAUAGGGAAUGCGGUGCGGCGGGCUCCCUGCGAGCGUCGCCCAUGCCGCGGCUGCCCCGCAACUGUGGGCGGAUCGCCGUCGGUCCAGCCACCGAGCGCUCGAGUUCGGCGAGGACGGCCGGCGGCCACGAUCCGCGAGCCAGGAGACCGGCCGGAGACACGGGUUCAAC